ACAGUCACACAUUAGACUACCCGGGUAGUCCCAGCCGUAAACAAUGUGCGUUAGGUGUGUCGGUAACCACGUGUUACUGAUGCGCCGAAGAGAAAUCGUGAAACGCACCACCUGGGAAGUACGGUCGCAAGGCUAGAAACUUAAAGGAAUUGGCGGGGAGCACCACAACAGGUGGAGCCUGCGGUUUAAUUGGAUUCAACGCCGGACAUCUCACCGGAUAAGACAGCUGAAUGAUUGUCAAUCUGAAGGUUUUACAUGACUAGCUG
rnacentral:rRNA from 1 species